GAUGAACGCUGGCGGCGUGCCUAAUACAUGCAAGUCGAGCGAACAGACGAGGAGCUUGCUCCUCUGACGUUAGCGGCGGACGGGUGAGUAACACGUGGAUAACCUACCUAUAAGACUGGGAUAACUUCGGGAAACCGGAGCUAAUACCGGAUAAUAUAUUGAACCGCAUGGUUCAAUAGUGAAAGACGGUUUUGCUGUCACUUAUAGAUGGAUCCGCGCCGCAUUAGCUAGUUGGUAAGGUAACGGCUUACCAAGGCAACGAUGCGUAGCCGACCUGAGAGGGUGAUCGGCCACACUGGAACUGAGACACGGUACAGACUCCUACGGGAGGCAGCAGUAGGGAAUCUGCCGCAAUGGGCGAAAGCUUGACGGAGCAACGCCGCGUGAGUGAUGAAGGUCUUCGGAUCGUAAAACUCUGUUAUUAGGGAAGAAAAAAUGUGUAAGUAACUAUGCACGUCUUGACGGUACCUAAUCAGAAAGCCACGGCUAACUACGUG
rnacentral:rRNA from 1 species